rfam:Gossypium hirsutum cultivar TM-1 chromosome 10, whole genome shotgun sequence
AAUCCAUAAUGUGGGCAUCUUUGUAUUAGCUUUUUAAAAUGCUCCCAAGCUCCGUGAAAGCUCUCUUCUUCUAAUUAUUUGAACGUUGCGAUCUCUCUUCUCAAUU